rnacentral:rRNA from 1 species
UUAGGUUAAGUUAUGAAGGGCGCAUGGUGGAUGCCUUGGCACUAGGAGCUGAUGAAGGACGGGACUAACACCGAUAUGCUUCGGGGAGCUGUACGUAAGCUUUGAUCCGGAGAUUUCCGAAUGAGGAAACUCGAUAACCUUAAUCGGUUAUCACCAAUUAGUGAAUUAAUUAGCUAAUUUGGCGGCAGACGUGGGGAACUGAAACAUCUAAGUACCCACAGGAAGAGAAAGAAAUUUCG